CCGUUACAGUAGAAGGUGAGAGGUGUAGUUCUGUUCCCGUUACAGUAGAAGGUGAGAGGUGUAGUUCUGUUCCCGUUACAGUAGAAGGUGAGAGGUGUAGUUCUGUUUCCGUUACAGUAGAAGGUGAGAGGUGUAGUUCUGUGUAUCUCUGUUUCCGUUACAGUAGAAGGUGAGAGGUGUAGUUCUGUGUAUCUCUGUUUCCGUUACAGUAGAAGGUGAGAGGUGUAGUUCUGUUCCCGUUACAGUAGAAGGUGAGAGGUGUAGUUCUGUUUCCGUUACAGUAGAAGGUGAGAGGUGUAGUUCUGUUCCCGUUACAGUAGAAGGUGAGAGGUGUAGUUCUGUUCCCGUUACAGUAGAAGGUGAGAGGUGUAGUUCUGUUUCCGUUACAGUAGAAGGUGAGAGGUGUAGUUCUGUUUCCGUUACAGUAGAAGGUGAGAGGUGUAUCUCUGUUUCCGUUACAGUAGAAGGUGAGAGGUGUAGUUCUGUUCCCGUUACAGUAGAAGGUGAGAGGUGUAGUUCUGUUCCCGUUACAGUAGAAGGUGAGAGGUGUAGUUCUGUUUCCGUUACAGUAGAAGGUGAGAGGUGUAGUUCUGUGUAGUUCUGUUUCCGUUACAGUAGAAGGUGAGAGGUGUAGUUCUGUUUCCGUUACAGUAGAAGGUGAGAGGUGUAGUUCUGUGUAUCUCUGUUUCCGUUACAGUAGAAGGUGAGAGGUGUAGUUCUGUUCCCGUUACAGUAGAAGGUGAGAGGUGUAGUUCUGUUUCCGUUACAGUAGAAGGUGAGAGGUGUAGUUCUGUGUAGUUCUGUUUCCGUUACAGUAGAAGGUGAGAGGUGUAGUUCUGUUUCCGUUACAGUAGAAGGUGAGAGGUGUAGUUCUGUGUA